CCUACGGGAGGCAGCAGUGAGGAAUAUUGGUCAAUGGACGCAACUCUGAACCAGCCAAGUAGCGUGCAGGAUGACUGCUCUAUGGGUUGUAAACUUCUUUUAUGCGGGAAUAAAGUGAGGCACGUGUGCCUUAUUGCAUGUACCUCAUGAAUAAGGACCGGCUAAUUCCGUGCCAGCAGCCGCGGUAAUACGGAAGAUCCGGGCGUUAUCCGGAUUUAUUGGGUUUAAAGGGAGCGCAGGCGGGUCGUUAAGUCGGUUGUGAAAGUGUGCGGCUCAACCGUAGAAUUGCAAUGGGAACUGGCAGGCUUGAGUGCAGUUGAGGUAGGCGGAAUUCGUGGUGUAGCGGUGAAAUGCUUAGAUAUCACGAAGAACUCCGAUUGCGAAGGCAGCUUACUAAAGUGCCACUGACACUGAGGCUCGAAGGUGUGGGUAUCAAACAGGAUUAGAUACCCGUGGAGUC
rnacentral:rRNA from 1 species